rnacentral:rRNA from 1 species
AGUGAACGCUGGCGGUAGGCCUAACACAUGCAAGUCGAACGGCAGCACAGUAAGAGCUUGCUCUUACGGGUGGCGAGUGGCGGACGGGUGAGGAAUACAUCGGAAUCUACUUUUUCGUGGGGGAUAACGUAGGGAAACUUACGCUAAUACCGCAUACGACCUACGGGUGAAAGCAGGGGAUCUUCGGACCUUGCGCGAUUGAAUGAGCCGAUGUCGGAUUAGCUAGUUGGCGGGGUAAAGGCCCACCAAGGCGACGAUCCGUAGCUGGUCUGAGAGGAUGAUCCGCCAACCGGAAAAUGAGACCCGGGCAAGCCCCCCAGGGGAGGCAGAAGGGGGGAAUUUGGGAAAAGGGGGGAAACCCUGACCCAGCCAUACCGGGGGGGUGAAGAAGGCCUUCGGGUUGUAAAGCCCUUUUGUUGGGAAAAAAAAGCAGCAGGUUAAACCCCCGCUGUUCUGACGGAACCAAAAAAAAAAGCACGGGCAAACUUCGG